GGGAUAGCCAGUACUUCCCAAACACGACAUCCAUCCUCUCACCAUGCCGACACACGAAGAGGCAUCUCUUCUGAGGGCCAGGCUGGCUGCUGAUCCUCAGAGGCUGUGGACAAAGAAAGGCUGAAGGCAACCUGAGUUACAUACAGCUCAGAGGCAAAACUAGCCAGUAUGGAGAGACGCCAUCUAGAGGACAGCUUCUUCCCCUAAGGAGAUGCUUCAUCAGGAGGCGAGAACUUUUAUUACCACAAAUGCCCCUGCCUCAUCUCCCCUACAUGGUGGUGAGGCCACAUGGUCCAUAGUCUCCUCCAGCCAGAAGGUCCUGCUUUGCCAGUUCUAAUCACAGGAUCGUGUGCCCUGAGAGAUCGGUAACCCUUUUAGGACAGAAAAGUCAAUGCCUCACCCUUUGUGAAAAAAGGUGCUCAGUGCCUCCUGAGCAGAGUUGAGGAUGUGGCCCUGACGGUCAGCCCUACCUGGGUGGGCUGGCAGAUGAUGGUGAGGGGCGUCGCGUCCCCCAGGCCCUGGUCCUCAUACUGCCGCCUCUCCAGGAUGCCGUCCCCAAAGGAGAGCGCGUUGGAAGAGGACGUGUUUAAGAUGGAGUAAGAGCUGCGGAGGGAGACAAGGAAGAUGUUAACUGAGGAGGAACAUCUUUUUAAAAUGUUUUCAUUGAAGUAUAAUUGACAAUAUUAUAUGAGUUUCGAGUACACAACACAGUGAUUGGGUAUUUUUAUAAGGAACGCCCUGUUUCAUACUGGAGUCUUGCUUAAUAAAUUAG